GUGGCACCUCUGUUGGUGUAGCUUUGCCAGGCAGGGUGGUCAGGUGGCAAGUGUCGGGGUUGAUCUCAAGGCUCUUUAGUGAGGCUUUGAGUGUGUCC